rnacentral:rRNA from 1 species
GACGAAUUCUGGCGGCGUGCUUAACACAUGCAAGUCGAACGGUAAGGCUCCAGCUUGCUGGGGUACACGAGUGGCGAACGGGUGAGUAACACGUGGGUGACCUGCCCUGCACUUCGGGAUAAGCCUGGGAAACUGGGUCUAAUACCGGAUAGGACCGCACCGUGAGGGUGUGGUGGAAAGUUUUUUCGGUGUGGGAUGGGCCCGCGGCCUAUCAGCUUGUUGGUGGGGUAAUGGCCUACCAAGGCGGCGACGGGUAGCCGGCCUGAGAGGGUGGACGGCCACAUUGGGACUGAGACACGGCCCAGACUCCUACGGGAGGCAGCAGUGGGGAAUAUUGCACAAUGGGCGGAAGCCUGAUGCAGCGACGCCGCGUGGGGGAUGACGGCCUUCGGGUUGUAAACUCCUUUCACCAUCGACGAAGGGUUUCUGACGGUAGAUGGAGAAGAAGCACCGGCUAACUACGUGCCAGCAGCCGCGGUAAUACGUAGGGUGCGAGCGUUGUCCGGAAUUACUGGGCGUAAAGAGCUCGUAGGUGGUUUGUCGCGUCGUCUGUGAAAUUCCGGGGCUUAACUCCGGGCGUGCAGGCGAUACGGGCAUAACUUGAGUACUGUAGGGGAGACUGGAAUUCCUGGUGUAGCGGUGAAAUGCGCAGAUAUCAGGAGGAACACCGGUGGCGAAGGCGGGUCUCUGGGCAGUAACUGACGCUGAGGAGCGAAAGCAUGGGGAGCGAACAGGAUUAGAUACCCUGGUAGUCCAUGCCGUAAACGGUGGGCGCUAGGUGUGGGUUUCCUUCCACGGGAUCCGUGCCGUAGCUAACGCAUUAAGCGCCCCGCCUGGGGAGUACGGCCGCAAGGCUAAAACUCAAAGGAAUUGACGGGGGCCCGCACAAGCGGCGGAGCAUGUGGAUUAAUUCGAUGCAACGCGAAGAACCUUACCUGGGCUUGACAUAUACAGGAUCGCGCCAGAGAUGGUGUUUCCCUUGUGGCUUGUAUACAGGUGGUGCAUGGUUGUCGUCAGCUCGUGUCGUGAGAUGUUGGGUUAAGUCCCGCAACGAGCGCAACCCUUGUCUUAUGUUGCCAGCACGUUGUGGUGGGGACUCGUAAGAAACUGCCGGGGUUAACUCGGAGGAAGGUGGGGAUGACGUCAAAUCAUCAUGCCCCUUAUGUCCAGGGCUUCACACAUGCUACAAUGGUCGGUACAGUGGGUUGCCAGUCCGUGAGGGCGAGCUAAUCCCGCAAAGCCGGUCUCAGUUCGGAUCGGGGUCUGCAACUCGACCCCGUGAAGUCGGAGUCGCUAGUAAUCGCAGAUCAGCAACGCUGCGGUGAAUACGUUCCCGGGCCU